UGCAAGUCGAGCGGUAGAGAGAAGCUUGCUUCUCUUGAGAGCGGCGGACGGGUGAGUAAUGCCUAGGAAUCUGCCUGGUAGUGGGGGAUAACGUUCGGAAACGGACGCUAAUACCGCAUACGUCCUACGGGAGAAAGCAGGGGACCUUCGGGCCUUGCGCUAUCAGAUGAGCCUAGGUCGGAUUAGCUAGUUGGUGAGGUAAUGGCUCACCAAGGCGACGAUCCGUAACUGGUCUGAGAGGAUGAUCAGUCACACUGGAACUGAGACACGGUCCAGACUCCUACGGGAGGCAGCAGUGGGGAAUAUUGGACAAUGGGCGAAAGCCUGAUCCAGCCAUGCCGCGUGUGUGAAGAAGGUCUUCGGAUUGUAAAGCACUUUAAGUUGGGAGGAAGGGUUGUAGAUUAAUACUCUGCAAUUUUGACGUUACCGACAGAAUAAGCACCGGCUAACUCUGUGCCAGCAGCCGCGGUAAUACAGAGGGUGCAAGCGUUAAUCGGAAUUACUGGGCGUAAAGCGCGCGUAGGUGGUUUGUUAAGUUGGAUGUGAAAUCCCCGGGCUCAACCUGGGAACUGCAUUCAAAACUGACUGACUAGAGUAUGGUAGAGGG
rnacentral:rRNA from 1 species